AGCCCGCUCCUUAGAUCCACUGUCGGGGUCGCCACAGACCCGCUAGUCUUCGGACUGGUAUGAGGCAGUGCUUGAGUCAUUGGUGGGCUAGAGCAGCACACUGGCAUAGGCUCUGUGGGCUUGUAUAGCGAACGAC